rnacentral:rRNA from 1 species
GACGAACGCUGGCGGCGUGCUUAACACAUGCAAGUCGAACGAAGUGGCGAACGGGUGCGUAACGCGUAAUCAACCUGCCCUUCAGAGGGGGACAACAGUUGGAAACGACUGCUACUCCCGCAUACUGAAGGCGGGGAUUGCGUCUGAUUAGCUAGCUGGAGGGGUAACGGCCACCCAAGGCGAUGCUCAGUAGCCGGGCGGAGAGGAUGAACGGCCACAUUGGGACUGAGACACGGCCCAGGAUCCUACGGGAGGCAGCAGGGGGGAAUCUUCCGCAAUGGACGAAAGUCUGACGGAGCAACGCCGCGUGAGUGAUGACGGCCUUCGGGUUGUAAAGCUCUGUUAAUCGGGACGCGGUACCGGAAUAGAAAGCCACGGCUAACUACGUGCCAGCAGCCGCGGUAAUUC